CAAAUAAUUAUGAUUAUACAAAUUCUAUUUUGCCCUCAGGUCAGAAGAAACUAUUUCCUACUUAUUCUUUCCUUUCCCUGAAAAUAAUCUUGGCCAAAGGAAUAAUCUUGGCAAAAGGAAAAAAUCUUGGCCAAUGGAAGACUCUCCUCAGCAAUCUGUAUCUCAGGUUAGAAGCAAAGGAAAGGUCAACAAAAGAGAGAAUCUCUGUCCUGAUGUCCACGAACUGCUUGCUCCAGCUUUCUCACCUUAGGGUUUAACUCCAAGAUCAUUUCACCAAGUUAACCCUCAGUUACUGUUGCCAGCAGAUGGGGAAUCUUGUCCAAAGUAUCAGAACAAGAGCAAAGCAAGCUUGCAAGAAACCGAAUUACCCAGCUAUUAAACAAAGACAGGAGGCAAGAAAGAUCAUACCCACACUAAAGGAAGCUUAGAAUUUUAAUACCCUCCAAUGUUAAAGAACUAAACUUCUUUAUGUUUAUAAGAUUCCCUUCAUUACUCAUGCCUCUACCACCAACCCCAUCUCCUGCCCCAGCCACUUUACAGACACUUCAUAUCUAAAUAUUUACAAAUCAGGAAGAAAUAAGAAAAACUUUAAUGACUGCUGUUUUGUCAUACUGGCAAGGAUUCCCCCUAUGAGUGACAACUCAUGACCAUUAGCAGAGGAAUUCCUGCCCCAGAUAAGCAUCUGAGGGUUUGAUAUGCUGCGAUUUUAAAAGUUUGAAAUAAUAAACACAAUUUCACUAAAGGCA
rnacentral:lncRNA from 1 species